rnacentral:rRNA from 1 species
UACGAAGGGGGCUAGCGUUGCUCGGAAUCACUGGGCGUAAAGCGCACGUAGGCGGACUCUUAAGUCGGUGGUGAGAUCCUGGAGCUCAACUCCAGAACUGCCUUCGAUACUGAGAGUCUCGAGUCCGGGAGAGGUGAGUGGAACUGCGAGUGUAGAGGUGAAAUUCGUAGAUAUUCGCAAGAACACCAGUGGCGAAGGCGGCUCACUGGCCCGGUACUGACGCUGAGGUGCGAAAGCGUGGGGAGCGAACAGG